CUAAUUAAUUAAUUAAAAGAAUAAUUACCUGUAUACCCCUCAAAACUUUUAAAAUAUCUCAUGUACCCCUACUUGUUUUGCUUCAAAUAUAUCUCUCGUAUAUUUCUUUGUUAUUCAAAAACACUCCCAUUGUUGGUACCCGUUAAGUCAUAUUGAGUUAAAUUUGAAUUAAAUUUCUAUUAAAGUAAAAAAAAAAAGUCAAAAUAUCUUUUCUUCCCUCUAAUUUAUGGGUAAAUGAGGAAAGUUGGUAACGAUAAAAGAAUAUAUUUGAAAGAUCAAAAAAUGAAAAUAUUUCUUUUAUUCUUAACUCGAGGGCACAUAAGAAAAGUUGGUAAUGAUAUAAAAGUAUAUUUAAAGAAACAAAAUAAUAAUUUUACAGAAAUAAUGAAUAUUUCUAAUGGUCUAUUAAUAGAAUUUAACUUUAAGAUUAUAUUUGAAAGAACUAGAAAUGUUAAAAAAAUAUUUUUUAUAUUAACUUUUUAAAAAGGGAUAAAUAAAAAAAUUUGAAAUUUUUCAGAGAUAUAUAAGCAAUUUUUCUGUAAUUAAAGCCAACUUAGA
rnacentral:lncRNA from 1 species